GAUGAACGCUGGCGGCGUGCCUAAUACAUGCAAGUCGAGCGAAUGGAUUAAGAGCUUGCUCUUAUGAAGUUAGCGGCGGACGGGUGAGUAACACGUGGGUAACCUGCCCAUAAGACUGGGAUAACUCCGGGAAACCGGGGCUAAUACCGGAUAACAUUUUGAACCGCAUGGUUCGAAAUUGAAAGGCGGCUUCGGCUGUCACUUAUGGAUGGACCCGCGUCGCAUUAGCUAGUUGGUGAGGUAACGGCUCACCAAGGCAACGAUGCGUAGCCGAGCUGAGAGGGUGAUCAGCCACACUGGGACUGAGACACGGCCCAGACUCCUACGGGAGGCAGCAGUAGGGAAUCUUCCGCAAUGGACGAAAGUCUGACGGAGCAACGCCGCGUGAGUGAUGAAGGCUUUCGGGUCGUAAAACUCUGUUGUUAGGGAAGAACAACUGCUAGUUGAAUAAGCUGGCACCUUGACGGUACCUAACCAGAAAGCCACGGCUAACUACGUGCCAGCAGCCGCCGUAA
rnacentral:rRNA from 1 species